rnacentral:tRNA from 1 species
GCCUGGCUAGCUCAGUCAGCAUGAGACUCUUAAUCUCAGGGUCAUGGGUUCAAGCCCCAUUUUGGGCU